rnacentral:snRNA from 1 species
AUACUUGGCAGGGAAGACAUCAAUAUCAGCAAGAAGGUUUUCCCAGGGUAAGGUCAGCAUUUGGGGUGUGCUGACCUUGGAGUAAAUUUGACUUCAUAAUUUGUGGUAGUGAGGGGUACAUUCAAGCUCUUUC